UACGGGGGGGGCAAGCGUUGUUCGGAAUUACUGGGCGUAAAGGGCUCGUAGGCGGCCAACUAAGUCGGACGUGAAAUCCCCAGGCUCAACCUGGGAACUGCGUCCGAUACUGGAUGGCUUGAAUUCGGGAGAGGGAUGCAGAAUUCCAGGUGUAGCGGUGAAAUGCGUAGAUAUCUGGAGGAAUACCGGUGGCGAAGGCGGCAUCCUGGACCGGCAUUGACACUGAGGCGCGAAAGCCAGGGGAGCAAACGGG
rnacentral:rRNA from 1 species